GAUGAACGCUGGCGGCGUGCUUAACACAUGCAAGUCGAGCGAAGCACUAAAGCGGAUUUCUUCGGAUUGAAGGUUUAGUGACUGAGCGGCGGACGGGUGAGUAACGUGUGGGUAACCUGCCUCAUACAGGGGGAUAACAGUUGGAAACGGCUGCUAAUACCGCAUAAGCGCACAGUACCGCAUGGUACGGUGUGAAAAACUCCGGUGGUAUGAGAUGGACCCGCGUCUGAUUAGGUAGUUGGUGGGGUAACGGCCUACCAAGCCGACGAUCAGUAGCCGACCUGAGAGGGUGACCGGCCACAUUGGGACUGAGACACGGCCCAAACUCCUACGGGAGGCAGCAGUGGGGAAUAUUGCACAAUGGGGGAAACCCUGAUGCAGCGACGCCGCGUGAGCGAAGAAGUAUUUCGGUAUGUAAAGCUCUAUCAGCAGGGAAGAAAAUGACGGUACCUGACUWUKAGCCCCGYYU
rnacentral:rRNA from 1 species